rnacentral:rRNA from 1 species
AUUGAACGCUGGCGGCAGGCCUAACACAUGCAAGUCGAGCGGAGCGGCGGACGGGUGAGUAAUGCCUAGGAAUCUGCCUGGUAGUGGGGGAUAAAGUCAGGAAACGGGCGCUAAUACCGCAUACUAUCAGAUGAGCCUAGGUCGGAUUAGCUAGUUGGUGGGGUAAAGGCCUACCAAGGCGACGAUCCGUAACUGGUCUGAGAGGAUGAUCAGUCACCAUGGAACUGAGACACGGUCCAGACUCCUACUGGAGGCAGCAGUGGGGAAUAUUGGACCAUGGGCCAAAGCCUUAUCCCGCCCUGCCGCGUGUGUUAAGAAGGUCUUCGGAUUGUAAAGCCCUUUAAGUUUGGAGGCGUUACCAACAGAAUAAGCACCGGCUAACUUCGUGCCAGCAGCCGCGGUAAUAC